UGACACAGCAGGGCCACGAGGAUCCAGUGGUCCAUUGUGACACUGUGGAUCCAAGGAGACCAUGGAGACACCCCCAGAACCUCAUGGAACCAAGGAGCCCAUGGUGACCCAGCGGGGCUGCAUGGAGCCAAUGGCCCAUGGUGACACUGCCCAUCCAAGGAGGCCAUUUGGACACUGCGGAAGCUCAUGGAGCCAGGUGUUUUUAAGGGAUGAAGAUAGAUCAGACGAAUAUUAGGGCCAUACCAAAAGGAUAACCA